rnacentral:rRNA from 1 species
GAUGAACGCUAGCGGCAGGCUUAACACAUGCAAGUCGAGGGGUAUAGGUUUUCGGACCUAGAGACCGGUGCACGGGUGCGUAACGCGUAUGCAAUCUACCUUUUGCAGAGGGAUAGCCCAGAGAAAUUUGGAUUAAUACCUCAUAGUAUAUGGACUUCGCAUGGAGACCAUAUUAAAGUUCCAACGGCAAAAGAUGAGCAUGCGUCCCAUUAGCUAGAUGGUAAGGUAACGGCUUACCAUGGCUACGAUGGGUAGGGGUCCUGAGAGGGAGAUCCCCCACACUGGUACUGAGACACGGACCAGACUCCUACGGGAGGCAGCAGUGAGGAAUAUUGGACAAUGGGCGCAAGCCUGAUCCAGCCAUGCCGCGUGCAGGAUGACGGCCCAUGGAUUGUAAUCUGCUUUUAACACAGGAAGAAACAACGCUACGUGUAGCGUCUUGACGGUACUGUGAGUAAUAAGGAUCGGCUAAC